AGUGAACGCUGGCGGUAGGCCUAACACAUGCAAGUCGAACGGCAGCACAGUAAGAGCUUGCUCUUACGGGUGGCGAGUGGCGGACGGGUGAGGAAUACAUCGGAAUCUACUUUUUCGUGGGGGAUAACGUAGGGAAACUUACGCUAAUACCGCAUACGACCUACGGGUGAAAGCAGGGGAUCUUCGGACCUUGCGCGAUUGAAUGAGCCGAUGUCGGAUUAGCUAGUUGGCGGGGUAAAGGCCCACCAAGGCGACGAUCCGUAGCUGGUCUGAGAGGAUGAUCGGCCACACUGGAACGGAGACACGGUCCAGACUCCUACGGGAGGCAGCAGUGGGGAAUAUUGGACAAUGGGCGCAAGCCUGAUCCAGCCAUACCGCGUGGGUGAAGAAGGCCUUCGGGUUGUAAAGCCCUUUUGUUGGGAAAGAAAAGCAGCAGGUUAAUACCCCGCUGUUCUGACGGUACCCAAAGAAUAAGCACCGGCUAACUUCGUG
rnacentral:rRNA from 1 species